AUGACUGCCUUAUCAGUAUUUCUCAAAUUAUGCAAUUUUUGGCUUCGACACAGCAUGGUAUCAGAUAAGAGAAUAGCCAGUCCCUAUCAGUCCUCCAUCUAAGCCUAACUAAGGGGUGUUGAUAUACUUUGGAUUUGUUCAGGCACCAUCUAUUUGAGAACCACAGAUAGGAAGUUAUUUUUUGAAAACAAGCAGCAUCAGCAACUGACUUUAAGCUAGAAUUAAGACUUAUUAUUCUAGUGUAAAAUGUCUUGAAAUACUUUCAGCAUGAAGUAUUGUGUGAUGAAAAAAAUGUGUAUUUACUACAAUGUGUGAAUCAACAAUAAAGGAGAUUAAAAGUGGGUGGUUAAAGACAUAUAAAGUGAUAAUGGUCUAGUUCAACAACUGCCUGUAUUUUUUGGAAUACUGAAGAACAGGCUGUUGUAACAGGUUAAACCCCAUGGAAAGAAUGUGCAUCAUCGCAUCGCCUGCCUAAAAAGGGAGCAAAAGAGUGACUACCUGCUGUAUGGACUUGAAUACCAGGUUUUACCCUGAACAAGCUGGCCGACAUGAGGAGAACAGGAGUGGGAAAACCCCGCCCUCUCCUUGACCAAGAAAAGCUGGAUUUGUUUAGAGGACCUGAUCAAAUGAGAUCAUGCACGAGACGCAUCGCGCAAAGGCCAUGACAGUAUAAUAGUUGCAAAGAAGUUUGACCGGCUGGUGGCAGACUUGGAGAGAAAGAUGAGAGCUGCACUCCGCUGCCUCAAAGAAAUGCUGAAAGGCCUUGAUUGAUAUGCAUCUUUCUUAUGUAUAUAGCUGUUCGUGUGUAUAUACUGUACAUGUUAUUAUAGUAUGCUAUUAUUUUUUGUUUAUUUAUAAUCAAAUUAUGUUUAUAUUUAUUU